UGGGGAAUAUUGCGCAAUGGGCGAAAGCCUGACGCAGCAACGCCGCGUGAGGGAUGAAGGUUUUCGGAUCGUAAACCUCUGUCAGAAGGGAAGAAACCGCACUGUGCUAAUCAGUAGUGCCUUGACGGUACCUUCAAAGGAAGCACCGGCUAACUCCGUGCCAGCAGCCGCGGUAAUACGGAGGGUGCAAGCGUUAAUCGGAAUUACUGGGCGUAAAGCGCACGUAGGCUGCUUUGUAAGUCAGGGGUGAAAUCCAACGGCUCAACCGUGGAACUGCCUUUGAUAAUGCUUUGCUUUAAGCCGGGAGAGGGUGGCGGAAUUCCAGGUGGAGGAGUGGAAUCCCUAGGAAUCUGGAGGAACAUCAGUGGCGGAGGCCGCCACCUGGACCGGUAUUGACGCUGAAGUGCGAAAGCGUGGGGAGCAAACAGG
rnacentral:rRNA from 1 species